GACGAACGCUGGCGGCGUGCCUAAUACAUGCAAGUAGAACGCCGAAGGAGGAGCUUGCUCUUCUGGAUGAGUUGCGAACGGGUGAGUAACGCGUAGGUAACCUGCCUGGUAGCGGGGGAUAACUAUUGGAAACGAUAGCUAAUACCGCAUAACAGUAGAUGUUGCAUGACAUUUACUUAAAAGGUGCAAUUGCAUCACUACCAGAUGGACCUGCGUUGUAUUAGCUAGUUGGUGGGGUAACGGCUCACCAAGGCGACGAUACAUAGCCGACCUGAGAGGGUGAUCGGCCACACUGGGACUGAGACACGGCCCAGACUCCUACGGGAGGCAGCAGUAGGGAAUCUUCGGCAAUGGACGGAAGUCUGACCGAGCAACGCCGCGUGAGUGAAGAAGGUUUUCGGAUCGUAAAGCUCGGUUGUAAGAGAAGAACGAGUGUGAGAGUGGAAAGUUCACACUGUGACGGUAUCUUACCAGAAAGGGACGGCUAACUACGUG
rnacentral:rRNA from 1 species